AGAAUCAAACUAUAAGCAAAUUACAGAAUCAGAACGGCCUAGGAGGCGCCAUCACACCUCAUCAAGCAUGCAAACAUCAUACAUAAUGAAUUGAAAAAUCUGUAUCACACUACAGUAAAACAAACUAACCUGGAAAAGUGAAACCAGCUCUGGAACUUGAAAUAUGGAUGAUGCAUACAUCAAUUCCACUGCAAAAGUAAUCGCAGGUCUACACGCAUCAUGAGCGCAUACAUUAUCAACACAUGUUGAGACUUCCAUUGGAGAUGGCUUGAGUUUUCCAGUGUACAAAUAGCUCAAGAAAAUUAGGAAGGCUUCAUAUCCAACAUUUCCAUAAGGUAACAAUUCACUCAUGCAAUAUCUUGUUGGGCAUUGGAAUGGGAGUAGAAGGCAUUGCAAACAUCAUAUCUACACAAAUGGAACUUCUGUGCUCUGCUGCUUUAAAAGGACCUGUAACUCUUCGUAGACAAUUCAAAGAUAAGAAAGAUAGUUUAUGCCAAAUCCUCAUGGAAAACCCACUAGAGCUGUUCCAUUUGGAUUCUAAAUCAGAAGUUGAAAGCAGCAAAAUGUUAUCCUCCCAGGGUCCUACUAACAAAUUGGAGAAAACAGCAUUCUUGUUGAGAUUGGGGUAUGUUGAGAACUCAGAUGAGAUGGCAAGAGCUCUAAAAAUGUUUCGAGGUAGAGGAGAUCAAUUACAAGAGAGGUUUGAUUGCCCGGUACAAGCUGGUUUGGACUGCAAUGUUGUCUCCAGCUUCAUCAAACAAGCUCCCAUGGUGCUAAACCAGACCAAAGAUGUAAUUGAAAAGAAGAUUGAUUGCCUGACAAACUUAGGCUGCUCGGUCAACUCACUGGUGGCAUUCCCAUCAUAUUUAUGCUACGACAUGGAGAGGAUUAAUCUUAGAUUUAGAAUGUAUACUUGGCUGAAGGAAAAGGGUGCAGCAAAACCCAAAUUGUCCUUGAGCACUAUCCUUGCAUGUUCAGACGCACGAUUCAUAAAAUAUUUUGUAGAUGUCCAUCCUGAAGGACCAGCAAUGUGGGAAAGUUUAAGGAACACGUCAGCUUCAAGCUAAGGCUAGUUCAACUUUUAAGUUUGUGUACAGUUUAUUUUUAUUGUUUAGUCAAACUGAUGCCAGUCAUUCAUUCCUACCGAUCUAAUUGCUGAACAUCUUUCUCUUUUCCAUACUUUUUAAUAAUUUUCUUAUAAAUCAUCCAUCUCAUGUUCUCCGUAGCUCACAAUAAGAUGGUUCUUGGUGUAGUUCAACUUGCAGAUUUUAGAUGGCACACAUUAAUGCAUGCACAAGGAUUUCAAUUUGUCUCGCAGCAUAUCUUCUGUGUUUGCAUGUGUGGCCAGCCUGCUAAUCAAAAUGUCUCUUUUUUGAAAAAUUCAUUUAAUUUAUGGAGGUUAUUUGUUGUUUUAAUGUUUUAGGAUUCUGAGGAAUUUCUUCAUUCCAGAUAAUUAUAAUAUGACUUCUUUUCCCUUCCACUUCAUGUUUGCUUCCAACUUUAUUUUCCUUUUAAUUGCUUGUUCACCACAACGCCAAGCAUUUUACUGAUGUCUUAUAGGUUGAAAGAUGAAUUUGUAUUUUCCAUCUGGGAAAUAAUGAUCAUCUAGUUGCAACUCAGAAAAACAAAAAGCUACAGAUUUUCUUGCAAUAACCGAAGUUUCAGUAGUGAUUUUCCAAUUGUCAUCUAUCACAAACAAAAGGACUAUGACCAAUUCAUGAGAUUUAUUCUUUAUUAAAUAUUUUCUUUUCAUCAACCUCUGCUUGACAAGAUUUGUGCCAAAAUAACAGAUGACAAGAAGAACAAAAGGCGGGAAAGCAUUCAAGGCUACAAAUUAUUCCAUAAAUAGAUUCCAGCUAUCAUUUGUAUGAGACUUCAAGUUCUUCAACCUAUGUGACUCUCCAUUGCAGAAUCUGGAUCACAUGUUAUCCUGCAUUUGAUCUCUCAGCUGUGCACAAGUCUCGUCCAGUGAUACAUCAGUCUUAGCAAUCAAAAGCGUCAGACGCCACACCAUCGAAAUGAGGAACAAUCAUGCUCGCAAUCAACACGGAAACCAAAAAUUUCUUCAUUUUUCUUCUCUAAAAAAAUGUAAGCAUUGUGAUCCCCCUUCCCGCAUCCAUUUAUAGAUUUAAUGUUAGACUUGCCCGUUAGUUUGGGUUGGAACUACGAAAGUACCAUCCCCAAGAUCCAUCCUCCAUCAGCUAUCCAUGUUGAAAGCUUUAGCUGACAAAUACCAGGGAGUGAAUCAAGGAUAAGGGUAUCUAUACGUCAUAAGGUUUUGACUACACGUCAUAGCAGAGUGCUCCAGACAAUAUGCAACUGUAUCAGUGCAUGUGGCUGUGUCAGUUCCAUCUUGGCGGUGUAACGUGGGUGUGCGAGCCCUAUCCAUAUUUAAUGUACAAAUGCAAUGUUAAAUCAUAUUCUUCUAUUUUCUCCAUCGAGCACUAUCUCCUCCUCAUAUUUUAUAGGUUAACUAGAUAGGCACCCAUGCAUCAUUUUUUUCUAUAAUUACUUUCUAUAAUUUUAGUUUAUUAUAAAUAAUGCAAUGAUUGUAGAUAAAAAUCUAAAACUUAGGGUAAAUUUAUGAAGCAAUUAUUUCAAGAAAAAAAUUAUUUAUAAUUAAUUUUUAUAGUCUUGAACUCCAGGCUAUAGUUAAUUUUUGUAGCCUUGAACUAUAAGUUUUCUUUCACCCAAUCAAAGAAUCUUAAAAGUUUGCAUUUCCUAGCUUCCAAGAUAAGAAAAUAAAGGGAGCACGGUAUUUCAUAUAUAUAUAUAUAUAUAUAAUUGUUAAUUAUAAGAUAAUAAAUUCGAAAUUUUGUAUGGAAUUACUUGUUACAUGUCAAAUAUGAUUUGUCAUGAUAUAAUCUAAUAAAAUUAUAUAAACAUUUUCAUCGUUAAUUUAAAAGAGAUUGCCAAUAUUUUACAUUCCAUACAGUAAUACGUGUUAGUUAUUUUCAUUAUUUUCUAUUAUUUUAUGAAGAUGUUAGUUUUUUUCCAAAUAAAUGGACUAAAAGAUUAUAAAAAUACACUUAAUUCAACCAUUUCAUUAUAUUAUUGACAGGUUUACAUGCAUUGAUGUUAUCAAUGUUGACCUAAAAAAAAAAAGAAGAAUUCUUUAUUUAAAAUUUACUAUAAAAAAUAACAAUUUUUUAUAGUAAAUUUUAAAUAAAAAAGAAUUCUUCUUUUUUUUUUAAAAAGAAAUCAAGUCAUGCCUAAAUAUAAUAUAUCUGGAAUGUGCCUUGGCUAUCCAUGUGUGGACAUAAGUCCACUGCAGGUUUCCAUUCAAAUCAGAUUGAAUGAUUACCUAUCAAAUUCAGAUAACAUUGCCAUCUCUGAUAGCAACAUGAUGGUAAUUCUCUAUGAAUGGUAUGAAUCUGUGGACACAACUCUCCCAUUGCAGAACUCGAACAUUUACAGUUUAUUUUUCCAAGACAAGGCACGAAGUUGAUAGUUUGAUGAACAAAAGUUCGUUGUAAACAAGACACUCUAUUCACACUUCUACAACAUAAAAAAACUGGGUUUCAGUUUUACAAGUCAUUGGUUAAAUGCAAAGGAAAAAAAAAAUACAUGGCACAGACCAAGACACGUUCUCAUGAUGUAAAAGGAAAAUGAUGUGCAGCUAUACCUAAUUCUCUAGCACAAACCCUGUCCCCUUCAAAGACAGGUCAAAAAGACAAGGGAAUAAAGCAGCUCCUUUUGUAGAAGGAGAAACUGCAAUAACCAGUCAAUGCCUGAUUCCUCUUCUUAUCUUGCUAUGACUGCAUUAGUACAAGAUUCCUGCUUCACUCUAGAAUUAGUGGCAUCCUACUUUCCAGGAAAGUUAUUUACUCAGAAAUCGAAUAUUUUCAAUUCAAUGGAAUAUAUGGAUUCUAAACAAGCAUUCAGUGCUGUAUUAUUAUUGAAGGGCCAAGGUUUUGGAAUCUUUACUGCUUUUAAUGACCGUAUAGGCAAACCAAUGACAGGCCUGUGGUGGAACAACAUGGUUGAAAAGGAAAUGAUGAAGCAAUCGUGUAUUCGAACAGAAGUAUUAAUUUCGGCGGUAAUCCAUCUUAGAGCAGGCAAAGAAGACAUGGCAAUACACAUGAACCGGUGAUCAGAUUUUCACAUCUAAAUAAAUCAGUUGCAAAUUUCUAUAAUUAUUGUUUUUUGCAGUAACUAGAGAAAAUUUCUAUGAGCUUUCGAAAUAAAAGCUUUAGAAGGCUUUAAUAAUACAGGCAUAUGAGCUUACAGAGCUAGUUCGCUCUUCGGUUAAAAUUGUACAGAGAAGCUUAUCAAAAUCUUUAACUAAUAUUAAGGCUUAAAUCAGAGACAAAGUGGCAUGCCCUCAUAGUUUCCUGAGCUUGUUACCAACACCAUCUUUUUGAGAAGAUGAGGAUGACGAGGAAGACAAAACAGAGCGGUUAAUCACAGCCUUGUCCUUGUUAAAUGCCUUUUGAACAUCCUCUUUAAGUUCCAUGAAACGUGUCCUCUUGAUUCUUUGUUCAUCUGGGGUGCCCUUUUCAAGGAAAAACAAAUCAGGGAGGUCAUCCUCCAUGAACUUAUCAAGCACUUCAGAGCAAUUAGGGAAGUAUCGUCGGCCCAUUUCCACUGUCAUUAUGACAAACACAAUUCAUAUGAGAAUAGUUGCAACGACUGUAUAGUUUAAAUUUCUAGACCAUAUGUGAUGUUUACUUUGCUUAAUUGUGAGGACUUCCUGGGGAUUCAAUAGUUUCAGUUAGCUUCAAAAUUUUAGGACUUUUGUGAUAAUAUGUUAUAACAUGUCCUGAGAUUGAUUUUUCAAACAAAAGGAUUUAAAGCUGGCAAGUACCUGUUUUCAUUAGGGCUUCCAUCCUAGAACGAAGUCUUUUGUUCUGCAUAAUUGGUGUCUCAUUCAGGUCAACCUCCCUCAAAUUCCCGCUAGAACCUUUUGAUGCAGCAAGACCAGCAAAUUCUGAUGUUGUUGCAGCAUGUGCAAUGUCCAUUGCUAGCUUUGCUUCAGUAGGGAAGAAUAAUCGUGCAAAUGCCACUGUGAUGUACACCACAACACUUGAUCAUACAUUUGAUUGUAAGUCAUGAUAGAGGACCCAUUUGAAUAUAUCAGGAUCAUAAUUGAACAUUAGGCGCUAAAACCAUAUAUAAAUAGGAUGUCUUCACCUCUGUAAGCAUCAAAUAGUAAUGAGAAAAUGUCUAUUUUCAUCAAGCCUGCUUGGUUGAUCAGGAAACUAAAAAUAGACAGAACAUAAAAUCUCCUAUUUGAACAAUAGCAGACAGAACAAUUAGCAGGACCCAGAACCAAAACGAAGGAACUUAAAGCUCAAAUAAAGCAGCCAGAAGGUCAGUGAUGAUGAUAUCUAGGUAUCUCGACAGAGUAUUGAAAACAUCAUUCCCGCACUUCUCUUUAUGAGCAAGAAAGAGAUUUCAAGAAAAUAACCAAAAAUUUCAGCUUUUGACAUAUUAAUCUUGAAAUUCGUGGGAACCAGGCAAGUUAACUGUAUUCUGGAACAUAAUUUUGAAGAUUAACCCAAGAAAUAAGUAGUCAAUUUUAAAUUCAACGCGAUCCAAAAGCAUAAUCCAGUCCCAUUGAGCAUGCAUUUGAACUGCAUACUGGCUUUAGCAAAAAUACAAGUGAGUUGAAUCCAAAAUUAUCAUGUGCAGGAUAAUAUACCUCUGUUCUCCAGGUAUAACAGCUUCAUGUGCAGAUCAUCAACCAUUGUAUGGGAAGUGAUGGAAGCACUCCCACCCAGUGGAUUCCUUCUCAUUUCCCUCUCUAAAAUAUCGAUGCAUAACCUGUCUUUGUUUGCUUCCUGCCCUUGCUCUGUUUUAGCAUGAUAGUCUUUUGGCCUUGUCAACCUCCGGCAGAUACUAACAGCACUUUGCCCAUCUGAUGUCAAGUCCAAAGCAGAUGCUCCUUUGGCCAGCAACGAAACUAUCACUGAUGGCUCUUUCCGCAUUGCAGCAAUGUGAAGAACUGUGUAACCUCGCGAGUUUCUAAGAUUGACAUUAGCAAGACCAAGGCUAAGCACCUCAGACAUAACCUUGAGAUCACAGUAUGAUGCACAAUAAUGGAGAGCGUUAGCGUCAUCUAAGGAUAUAUCAGACUCAGUCAGGAGAAGUUUCACAAGUUCAACAUCAUCUGAGUCCAAUGCCAUGUGUAUCCUCUUGAUUCUCUUUUCACGUAGGGGGUCCCCAGCCUCUGUGUUGUUUUCAUCAUCAGAAAUAGGUUUGCGGCGGAGCUGUUUAAUUUUGUCUGCAACUUCAUGGGGAAGCUCUUUCUCUAUAGAGAUGUUGUCAAGAUUAGACACUGCUAUUCUAUCAACACAUUGUGCAAUAAGCUGACUUGAUUGACAAUGGAAGGCAACCACAAGGAUUGGGAUCACAUCUUCCGCAAGAGCUUUCCGAACAAAGUUAAGAAGGCGUCUCUGAAAAAACAUGCCGAUUUGGAUCACUAUAAUUUUCUUCUGCUUUUUAUAGAUCCCAAAGGACAGUUUGGGAGAUGAAUAGAAGGGCCCAAAACCUAAUUUUUCUUGUCAAGUUAUUCUCGAUAAUUUCCUCAGCUAAUAAAAUGGCAUUUUGUAUAGUUACUGACUGCCAGAAUACAUGAGGAAAUACUACAACAUAAUAGUAGAGAAAAACAACCAUUCCCAAGUUAUUCAUUAGGCUUGGGCAUUGACAUCCACAGUCCAGCAUAGAAAUCAAAUGAAUUAAUACAUCAGAUCAUGCACGCACUGCUUGAUGCGACCCAUUUGAAAUAUUCACACCUUGGGUGAAGGUGGCAAAACAGGUUGGAUCUCCAAUUCUCAAAGUUGAUUAACUAUAUUAGCAAAAGAUUAGCUAGGGUAGACAAAUACCACACAACUGUCAUGGCCAGUUCAAUUCAACCACAAGAAUCAAACUAUAAGCAAAUUACAGAAUCAGAACGGCCUAGGAGGCGCCAUCACACCUCAUCAAGCAUGCAAACAUCAUACAUAAUGAAUUGAAAAAUCUGUAUCACACUACAGUAAAACAAACUAACCUGGAAAAGUGAAACCAGCUCUGGAACUUGAAAUAUGGAUGAUGCAUACAUCAAUUCCACUGCAAAAGUAAUCGCAGGUCUACACGAAUCAUGAGCGCAUACAUUAUCAACACAUGUUGAGACUUCCAUUGGAGAUGGCUUGAGUUUUCCAGUAUACAAAUAGCUCAAGAAAAUUAGGAAGGCUUCAUAUCCAACAUUUCCAUAAGGUAACAAUUCACUCAUGCAAUACUUUGGUUUUCCAUCCUUCUCCAGAGACCCCUUUUCUCUCCUAAACAACUCAUGGAAAAACUUGCUCCUAGAAGCUAAAAUACAUCGAUGAACACCAACAGCGAUACCCUCAACAACAAUAUCA
rnacentral:lncRNA from 1 species